GGGCUGGGGGCGUAUUUUGUACGUGGCAGUCGAGCGGAGAAAGUGGAGCUUGCUCCAUUAUCUUAGCGGCGGACGGGUGAGUAACACGUGGGCAACCUGCCCUGCAGAUCGGGAUAACUCCGGGAAACCGGUGCUAAUACCGAAUAGUUUGCGGCCUCUCAUGAGGCUGCACGGAAAGACGGUUUCGGCUGUCACUGCAGGAUGGGCCCGCGGCGCAUUAGCUAGUUGGUGAGGUAACGGCUCACCAAGGCCACGAUGCGUAGCCGACUUGAGAGGGUGAUCGGCCACAUUGGGACUGAGACACGGCUCAGAUUCUUACGGGAGGCAGCAGUAGGGAAUCUUCCGCAAUGGACGAAAGUCUGACGGAGCAACCCCCCGUGAGUGAAGAAGGUUUUCGGAUCGUAAAACUUUGUUGGGAGGAAGAAACAAGUACCAAGUAACUACUGGUACCCUGGCGUUAACUCACCAGAAAGCCACGGCUAAUUACGUGCCAGCAGUCGCGGGAAUACGUAGGUGGCAAGCGUUGUCCGAAUUUUUUGGGCGAAAGGGCCCCGGGGGCGGUCCUUUAAGUCUGAUGUGAAAGCCCACGGCUCCACCGUGGAGGGUCAUUGGAAACUGGGGAACUUGAUCGCAGAAAAGAGAAGUGGAAUUCAGUGUGCAGCGGUGAAUGCAAAGAGAUGUGGAGGAACACCAGUAGUGCGAGCGAUUUUUUGCUCUGUGACCGACGCUGAGCCGCGAAAACGGGGGGAGCAAACAACGAUAAAUCUCUUGGUAGUAUCCGCCGUAAACGAGGUGUACUAAGUGUUUAGGGGUUUCCGCCCUUUAGUUCUGCNUACGAUACAUUAAGCACUUCCUCUGGGAAGUACGCCCACAAGGCUGAAACUCAAAGGAAUUGAUGCGGGCCUGCUCAAGCGGUGGAGCACUUGGUUUAUUUCGAAGCAACGCGAAGACCUACAGCUGGUCCGUGACGCUAGGAUAGCUUCCUCGGAAACUAAACGUGCUGUUUUCUAUUCGUUGAAAUAGGUAGUGCACGCACGUCACUGACUAGUCGAUUGAGACCUUAGGCUCAGACACGCAACGAGCGCAUACUGUCUUAUGGGUUGCC
rnacentral:rRNA from 1 species